GACGGAGAGUCCGAACAACGCCGGUUAAAUAAUAACCGAGAUGUAGUGCUCUGAGGACGGGAGAGUCCGAAGAACGCCGGUUAAACAAUAAUCGAGAUGUAAUGCUCUGAGGACAGGGAGAGUCCGAAGAACGCCGGUUAAAUAAUAACCGAGAUGUAGUGCUCUGAGGACAGGGAGAGUCCGAAGAACGCCGGUUAAAUAAUAACCGAGGUGACAGAUAACGAUGUUGUUAGAAAUCUAACGUGUUAUUAGUGUUGGGUCCAAACAGUUGGGAUGGACUAAAGUGGGGAUAUUGUGGUUAGAGGAUUGUGGAAAUGUAUUCGUUGUGGAUUUUCCG
rnacentral:lncRNA from 1 species